UUCUCACAUCCUCUUUUAAUAAUAAAACCUGGACAAAUUCAAUUAAAAUGUGAGUCUUGCAAUACAUCACAGCCUUAAUCUCUUGUAUGAUAUUUAUUGCUAAAGUCACCUGCUAAUGAUUAACAGAAACUUCAGGAGAGAACUACCUGUUAUCUGCAUAAACAGUUACCAUGAAGACAAUCUUCUGUUAUUAUCCAAGUCAUGGUACAUGCCAAAAGAUGCGAACACUGAGGAUAUUAACCUCCUUAAACUCUGAAGAGACAACUUUUGCAAGAAAUAGAAGAACAUCUUUUAGAGGAAUUUAAAAAUACUACAGAAGUUCUUCUUAGAUUUGCUAAAUUCUUUAUUAUGAAGAAUCUUUUCAAACAUGAAUGGAAUCCAGCAUCUAAAUUCCUUGGGAUGAAAAUAAUAAUGACUGAAAAGGAAAGAUCCCAUGCCACUUCUCACUAGUUUACCAUCAUUAACAGCAAAAACACAGGAAAACACUUCCCUUGUCAGAUGACAUAACGCAAGUCAUCAUUG